rnacentral:tRNA from 1 species
UGCUCUGAGAAGCUAAUAGCAUUGGUCUUGUAAACCAAAAAUAAGAAAAACUUCUCCAGAGCU